rnacentral:rRNA from 1 species
AUUGAACGCUGGCGGCAGGCCUAACACAUGCAAGUCGAACGAGUGGCGGACGGGUGAGUAAUGUCUGGGAAACUGCCCGAUGGAGGGGGAUACCUACUGGAAACGUUAGCUAAUACCGCAUACCAUCGGAUGUGCGCAGAUUGGAUUAGCUAGUAGGUUGGGUAAAGGCUCACCUAGGCGACGAUCCCUAGCUGGUCGGAGAGGAUGACCGGCCAGACUGGAACUGAGACACGGUCAAGACUCCUACGAGAGGAAGCAGUGGGGAAUAUUGCACAAUGGGCGCAAGACUGAUGAAGCCAUGCCGCGUGUAUGAAGAAGGCCUUCGUGUUGUAAAGUACUUUCAGCGAGGAGGCGUUACUCGCAGAAGAAGCACCGGCUAACUCUGUGCCAGCAGCCGAGGUAAUAC